AGACCGUGACCACCCAGACAGGAAGGAGGUGGUGGGGGACACCAUGAGAUGUCUGCUCCCUUAUGCAUGGUUAGGCAGAGAUUACCGAACUAUAAGUGUGCCACUGACUCUAUCCUAGGAUCAGCAGCUUGUGGGAGAAUCAUGGAAUACUUACCAAAGUA
rnacentral:lncRNA from 1 species